GGAACAAUGCAGCCAGUGAACUGAUGUGUAACCCCUGAUGCUGUGAGCCAAGAUAAACCUUUUCCUCUCUCUCUUUUUUUUUUUUUUUUUUUUUUUUGGUUUUUCAAGACAGGGUUUCUCUGUGUAGCCCUGGCUGUCCUGGAACUCACUCUGUAGACCAGGCUGGCCUCGAACUCAGAAAUUCGCCUGCCCCUGCCUCCUAAGUGCUGGGAUUAAAGGCGUGCGCCACCACGCCCGGCUAACCUUUUCCUCUCUUAGCUCGUUCCUUCGGGUGUUUUGUCACAGUGACAAAAUAAAAGUGACUAACCUUUAGACUUUGCAGGUGCUCUAGAGAGUGAAGUAUGUGGGAGUAUACGCAUGGGUUAUAUGCAAACUGGACACCAUUUCUAUGGGGUUUGUCCAUCUGUAGACCUGGAGGCAUGCUAGGAAACGCUGAAACAAACCCCUGAGGACACUUAGGAAGAACUAUAAGUAGAAUUUGGGGAAUUAUUAUUAUUUUGAGCAAAGCAAACACUGAUUUAUUAAGGAAACUUGAGAACUCAGGAAUGGAGGGGCUCCUUGAAUGGCAUCCAUGACUGAUUUUAAUAGAUGGUGGUCAGAGGCUGUGGCCUAUUAAUUCUCUGUGCUUAAUUUUUUUUCCUUGAGUCUUCUUUCUACCUAAGCAUGAUUAUUUUAAAGUUCCUUGCAGCCAGGUGAGGUGGUACACACUUGGACUUUCAGCACUCUGAGGGUAAGGUUGUUGUGAGUUUCAAGGCCUGCUCUACAAAGCAAGUUUUAGGCUAGCCGGGACUGCCUAAUGAGGCUUUGUCUCAAAAAAAGCAUGAAAGAAAAUAAUAAUAAUAGUAAUAAUAAUAAUAAUGUUAUACUGACAAAGCUAAUAAAGAUAAAAACAUGAAAACAGAGUAAUUCAUGAAGUCCCUGCCACCUGCCUUCCACAGGUGCCAGUUUAUGGCCAAGUUUGCUUAAUUAUGGCUCCUAUUAUUUUUAAACACCUCUCGAACAGGAUUUUUAAGAAGACCUUAUGGUCACAGCCUCAAAAGAAGAAAAAUUAGUGUGUGUUCAAUCGAGUGUAUUG
rnacentral:lncRNA from 1 species